AUUCAGUUGACGAGUCCUACAUAGGACGAAAUACCUGUCCUAAAA
rnacentral:hammerhead_ribozyme from 1 species